AAAUGCCCUGCUUCCAGGAAAAGCCUCUAAGCUCCAGGUAACACGAAAUCGUACCCCAAACCGACACAGGUGGUCAGGUAGAGAAUACCAAGGCGCUUGAGAGAACUCGGGUGAAGGAACUAGGCAAAAUGGUGCCGUAACUUCGGGAGAAGGCACGCUGGCGCGUAGGUGAAGGGACUUGCUCCCGGAGCUGAAGCCAGUCGAAGAUACCAGCUGGCUGCAACUGUUUAUUAAAAACACAGCACUGUGCAAACACGAAAGUGGACGUAUACGGUGUGACGCCUGCCCGGUGCCGGAAGGUUAAUUGAUGGGGUUAUCCGUAAGGAGAAGCUCUUGAUCGAAGCCCCGGUAAACGGCGGCCGUAACUAUAACGGUCCUAAGGUAGCGAAAUUCCUUGUCGGGUAAGUUCCGACCUGCACGAAUGGCGUAAUGAUGGCCAGGCUGUCUCCACCCGAGACUCAGUGAAAUUGAAAUCGCUGUGAAGAUGCAGUGUACCCGCGGCAAGACGGAAAGACCCCGUGAACCUUUACUAUAGCUUGACACUGAACAUUGAGCCUUGAUGUGUAGGAUAGGUGGGAGGCUUUGAAGCGGGACGCCAGUCUGCGUGGAGCCGACCUUGAAAUACCACCCUUUAAUGUUUGAUGUUCUAACGUAGGCCCGUGAUCCGGGCUGCGGACAGUGUCUGGUGGGUAGUUUGACUGGGGCGGUCUCCUCCCAAAGCGUAACGGAGGAGCACGAAGGUUGGCUAAUCCUGGUCGGACAUCAGGAGGUUAGUGCAAUGGCAUAAGCCAGCUUGACUGCGAGAGUGACGGCUCGAGCAGGUGCGAAAGCAGGUCAUAGUGAUCCGGUGGUUCUGAAUGGAAGGGCCAUCGCUCAACGGAUAAAAGGUACUCCGGGGAUAACAGGCUGAUACCGCCCAAGAGUUCAUAUCGACGGCGGUGUUUGGCACCUCGAUGUCGGCUCAUCACAUCCUGGGGCUGAAGUAGGUCCCAAGGGUACGGCUGUUCGCCGUUUAAAGUGGUACGCGAGCUGGGUUUAGAACGUCGUGAGACAGUUCGGUCCCUAUCUGCCGUGGGCGCUGGAGAAUUGAGGGGGGUUGCUCCUAGUACGAGAGGACCGGAGUGAACGCACCGCUGGUGUUCGGGUUGUCAUGCCAAUGGCACUGCCCGGUAGCUAAGUGCGGAAAAGAUAAGUGCUGAAAGCAUCUAAGCACGAAACUUGCCCCGAGAUGAGUUCUCCCUGACCCUUUAAGGGUCCUGAAGGGACGUUGAAGACGACGACGUUGAUAGGCCGGGUGUGUAAGCGCAGCGAUGCGUUGAGCUAACCGGUACUAAUGACCCGUGAGGCUUAACC
rnacentral:rRNA from 1 species